rnacentral:miRNA from 1 species
GAUGGCAUACCAUUUGAAAAAGUAGACAACCCAAAGUAUUGCAAAUGGGGUAUGUCCAGUCAUUUUUAGUAGCCACUUAGUCACAAACACUGGCCAAAUAUUUGUUUUUUUGCUUUUUUCACACAAAAACAAAUAUGAAUGCUAACUUUGGCCAGUGUUUGUGACUAAGUGGCUACUAUAAAAGACUAGAAAUACCCCACUUGCAAUUCCUUGGGUUUUCUACUUUUGCAAAUGGUAUGCCAUC